rnacentral:rRNA from 1 species
AUUGAACGCUGGCGGCAUGCUUUACACAUGCAAGUCGAACGGUAACAGGGAGCUUGCUCCGCUGACGAGUGGCGAACGGGUGAGUAAUGCAUCGGAACGUACCCAGUCGUGGGGGGAUAACGUAGCGAAAGUUACGCUAAUACCGCAUACGUCCUGAGGGAGAAAGCGGGGGACCGUAAGGCCUCGCGCGAUUGGAGCGGCCGAUGUUGGAUUAGCUAGUUGGUGGGGUAAAGGCCUACCAAGGCGACGAUCCGUAGCGGGUCUGAGAGGAUGAUCCGCCACACUGGGACUGAGACACGGCCCAGACUCCUACGGGAGGCAGCAGUGGGGAAUUUUGGGACAAUGGGGGGCAACCCUGAUCCAGCCAUGCCGCGUGAGUGAAGAAGGCCU